CUCUCUCUCUUCUCUCUCGAGCGGAAAGGCGAUAGAAGAGACGAUUCGUUUGAAAAUCUGGAAACUCAACCAAUUCACAUCGAAUCCGUUGUGUGAAACCGAUUUGUUUUCGGAUUUCCGACCGCGACAACAACGGCGAAUUGAUGUUUGUUGAUGUGUACUUGAAACCAACGACGAAGACGGUGAAGCUCCUGGUUAAUUCCCGUCAGACCGACUACUUCGAGAAGCAGAGGUUCGGUGACUCUUCUUCUUCUUCUUCGCCUUCAUACUCCUCGCAAAACGGAGAUCCGGCUGGGAGAAGUGGAUGUAAUUAGAUCUUUAUUCGAAAGAGCCAUUAGCUUGAGCUUGCCUCCUAAGAAGAUGAAGAGCUAGUAAGCAGAACAGCUAAGGCUGUCACGAGCUUUGCUCCUCCAUGGGUCAUCUUAAGACAUGCUUUCCGGUCAGUAAGCAGAACAUGCUAUGGCUGUCUUAUAUUGUUCAUGUUGUUGGGUUAGAAAGAUUGUAGAGAUGAGAUUGACGACAAACACCUAUCGUUGUUGGGUUACAAUCGUUGUUAAGUUACAACCCCAUGGAUGACCCUGCCAAGGGAGCAGCCAACUUCACCUCUCAGCUUAUCAUCAUGAACCACCCUGGUCAGAUUGGAAACGUUACGCUCCAGUCCUCUAUUGCCACACCUCU